rnacentral:rRNA from 1 species
GAUGAACGCUGGCGGCGUGCCUAAUACAUGCAAGUCGAGCGAACAGACGAGGAGCUUGCUCCUCUGACGUUAGCGGCGGACGGGUGAGUAACACGUGGAUAACCUACCUAUAAGACUGGGAUAACUUCGGGAAACCGGAGCUAAUACCGGAUAAUAUAUUGAACCGCAUGGUUCAAUAGUGAAAGACGGUUUUGCUGUCACUUAUAGAUGGAUCCGCGCCGCAUUAGCUAGUUGGUAAGGUAACGGCUUACCAAGGCAACGAUGGGUAGCCGACCUGAGAGGGUGAGCGGCAACAGGGCGAAUGAGAGAAGGCCCAGAGUCCGAUGGGAGGCAGCAGUGGGGAAUAUUGAAAAAUGGGUGGAAGGCUGAUACAGAAAGGCAGCGUGCGGGAUGACGGCCUGCGGGGUGUAAACCGCUUUCCCAGGGGACGAAGCGUGAGAGACGUUAAUGGGUAAAGAAGCAACGGCUAACUAAGUC